rnacentral:rRNA from 1 species
GGGUUGUGAGGUUAAGCGACUAAGCGUACACGGUGGAUGCCCUGGCAGUCAGAGGCGAUGAAGGACGUGCUAAUCUGCGAAAAGCGUCGGUAAGGUGAUAUGAACCGUUAUAGCCGGCGAUGUCCGAAUGGGGAAACCCAGUGCAAUUCGUUGCACUAUCGUUAACUGAAUACAUAGGUUAACGAGGCGAACCGGGGGAACUGAAACAUCUAAGUACCCCGAGGAAAAGAAAUCAACCGAGAUUCCCCCAGUAGCGGCGAGCGAACGGGGAGCAGCCCAGAGUCUGAAUCAGCUUGUGUGUUAGUGGAACGGUCUGGAAAGUCCGACGGUACAGGGUGAUAGUCCCGUACACCAAAAUGCACAGGUUGUGAACUCGAAGAGUAGGGCGGGACACGUGGUAUCCUGUCUGAAUAUGGGGGGACCAUCCUCCAAGGCUAAAUACUCCUGACUGACCGAUAGUGAACCAGUACCGUGAGGGAAAGGCGAAAAGAACCCCGGCGAGGGGAGUGAAAAAGAACCUGAAACCGUGUACGUACAAGCAGUGGGAGCACCUUCGGGUGUGACUGCGUACCUUUUGUAUAAUGGGUCAGCGACUUAUAUUCUGUAGCAAGGUUAACCGUAUAGGGGAGCCGCAGGGAAACCGAGUCUUAACUGGGCGUUAAGUUGCAGGGUAUAGACCCGAAACCCGGUGAUCUAGCCAUGGGCAGGUUGAAGGUUGGGUAACACUAACUGGAGGACCGAACCGACUAAUGUUGAAAAAUUAGCGGAUGACUUGUGGCUGGGGGUGAAAGGCCAAUCAAACCGGGAGAUAGCUGGUUCUCCCCGAAAGCUAUUUAGGUAGCGCCUCGUGAACUCAUCUUCGGGGGUAGAGCACUGUUUCGGCUAGGGGGUCAUCCCGACUUACCAACCCGAUGCAAACUACGAAUACCGAAGAAUGUUAUCACGGGAGACACACGGCGGGUGCUAACGUCCGUCGUGAAGAGGGAAACAACCCAGACCGCCAGCUAAGGUCCCAAAGUCAUGGUUAAGUGGGAAACGAUGUGGGAAGGCACAGACAGCCAGGAUGUUGGCUUAGAAGCAGCCAUCAUUUAAAGAAAGCGUAAUAGCUCACUGGUCGAGUCGGCCUGCGCGGAAGAUGUAACGGGGCUAAACCAUGCACCGAAGCUGCGGCAGCGACACUAUGUGUUGUUGGGUAGGGGAGCGUUCUGUAAGCCUGCGAAGGUGACCUGUGAGGGUUGCUGGAGGUAUCAGAAGUGCGAAUGCUGACAUAAGUAACGAUAAAGCGGGUGAAAAGCCCGCUCGCCGGAAGACCAAGGGUUCCUGUCCAACGUUAAUCGGGGCAGGGUGAGUCGACCCCUAAGGCGAGGCCGAAAGGCGUAGUCGAUGGGAAACAGGUUAAUAUUCCUGUACUUGGUGUUACUGCGAAGGGGGGACGGAGAAGGCUAUGUUAGCCGGGCGACGGUUGUCCCGGUUUAAGCAUGUAGGCUGGUUGUCCAGGCAAAUCCGGAUAAUCAAGGCUGAGGUGUGAUGACGAGGCACUACGGUGCUGAAGUAACAAAUGCCCUGCUUCCAGGAAAAGCCUCUAAGCAUCAGGUAACAUCAAAUCGUACCCCAAACCGACACAGGUGGUCAGGUAGAGAAUACCAAGGCGCUUGAGAGAACUCGGGUGAAGGAACUAGGCAAAAUGGUGCCGUAACUUCGGGAGAAGGCACGCUGGUGUGUAGGUGAAGUCCCUGCGGAUGGAGCUGAGACCAGUCGAAGAUACCAGCUGGCUGCAACUGUUUAUUAAAAACACAGCACUGUGCAAACACGAAAGUGGACGUAUACGGUGUGACGCCUGCCCGGUGCCGGAAGGUUAAUUGAUGGGGUUAUCCGUAAGGAGAAGCUCUUGAUCGAAGCCCCGGUAAACGGCGGCCGUAACUAUAACGGUCCUAAGGUAGCGAAAUUCCUUGUCGGGUAAGUUCCGACCUGCACGAAUGGCGUAAUGAUGGCCAGGCUGUCUCCACCCGAGACUCAGUGAAAUUGAACUCGCUGUGAAGAUGCAGUGUACCCGCGGCAAGACGGAAAGACCCCGUGAACCUUUACUAUAGCUUGACACUGAACAUUGAGCCUUGAUGUGUAGGAUAGGUGGGAGGCUUUGAAGCGUGGACGCCAGUCUGCGUGGAGCCAACCUUGAAAUACCACCCUUUAAUGUUUGAUGUUCUAACGUUGGCCCCUGACCGGGGUUGCGGACAGUGUCUGGUGGGUAGUUUGACUGGGGCGGUCUCCUCCCAAAGCGUAACGGAGGAGCACGAAGGUUAGCUAAUCCUGGUCGGACAUCAGGAGGUUAGUGCAAUGGCAUAAGCUAGCUUGACUGCGAGCGUGACGGCGCGAGCAGGUGCGAAAGCAGGUCAUAGUGAUCCGGUGGUUCUGAAUGGAAGGGCCAUCGCUCAACGGAUAAAAGGUACUCCGGGGAUAACAGGCUGAUACCGCCCAAGAGUUCAUAUCGACGGCGGUGUUUGGCACCUCGAUGUCGGCUCAUCACAUCCUGGGGCUGAAGUAGGUCCCAAGGGUAUGGCUGUUCGCCAUUUAAAGUGGUACGCGAGCUGGGUUUAGAACGUCGUGAGACAGUUCGGUCCCUAUCUGCCGUGGGCGCUGGAGAAUUGAGGGGGGCUGCUCCUAGUACGAGAGGACCGGAGUGGACGCAUCACUGGUGUUCGGGUUGUCAUGCCAAUGGCACUGCCCGGUAGCUAAAUGCGGAAGAGAUAAGUGCUGAAAGCAUCUAAGCACGAAACUUGCCCCGAGAUGAGUUCUCCCUGAGACUUUAAGUCUCCUGAAGGAACGUUGAAGACGACGACGUUGAUAGGCCGGGUGUGUAAGCGCAGCGAUGCGUUGAGCUAACCGGUACUAAUGAACCGUGAGGCUUAACCUUACAACGCCGAAG